rnacentral:rRNA from 1 species
AGAGUUGAUCAUGGCUCAGAACGAACGCUGGCGGCAGGCCUAACACAUGCAAGUCGAGCGCGCCCUUCGGGGUGAGCGGCGGACGGGUUGGUAACGCGUGGGAACGUACCCUUUGGUAGGGAAUAGCCACUGGAAACGGUGAGUAAUACCCUAUGAGCCCUUCGGGGGAAAGAUUUAUCGCCAAAGGAUCGGCCCGCGUUAGAUUAGGUAGUUGGUGGGGUAAUGGCCUACCAAGCCUACGAUCUAUAGCUGGUUUUAGAGGAUGAUCAGCAACACUGGGACUGAGACACGGCCCAGACUCCUACGGGAGGCAGCAGUGGGGAAUCUUGGACAAUGGGGGCAACCCUGAUCCAGCCAUGCCGCGUGAGUGAAGAAGGCCUUAGGGUCGUAAAGCUCUUUCGCCUGUGAAGAUAAUGACGGUAGCAGGUAAAGAAACCCCGGCUAACUCCGUGCCAGCCGCGGC